AGAUUGAACGCUGGCGGCAUGCUUUACACAUGCAAGUCGAACGCGAAAGGGGGGCAACCUCCGAGUAGAGUGGCGAACGGGUGAGUAAUACAUCGGAACGUAUCCAGUAGCGGGGGAUAACCUCUCGAAAGAGAGGCUAAUACCGCAUACGACCUAAGGGUGAAAGAGGGGGAUCGCAAGACCUCUCACUAUUGGAGCGGCCGAUGUCGGAUUAGCUAGUUGGCGGGGUAACGGCCCACCAAGGCUACGAUCCGUAGCUGGUCUGAGAGGACGACCAGCCACACUGGAACUGAGACACGGUCCAGACUCCUACGGGAGGCAGCAGUGGGGAAUUUGGACAAUGGGCGCAAGCCUGAUCCAGCCAUGCCGCGUGAGUGAAGAAGGCCUUCGGGUGUAAAGCUCGUUUCGGCGGGACGAAAAGGUCCGUGCUAACACCACGGAUCCAUGACGUACCGCAGAAGAAGACACCGGACUAACUACGUGCCAGCAGCCGACGGUAACUC
rnacentral:rRNA from 1 species